GAACGCUGGCGGCAGGCUUAACACAUGCAAGUCGAGCGGGGAAGGGUAGCUUGCUACCUGACCUAGCGGCGGACGGGUGAGUAAUGCUUAGGAAUCUGCCUAUUAGUGGGGGACAACAUUCCGAAAGGAAUGCUAAUACCGCAUACGCCCUACUGGGGAAAGCAGGGGAUCUUCGGACCUUGCGCUAAUAGAUGAGCCUAAGUCAGAUUAGCUAGUUGGUGGGGUAAAGGCCUACCAAGGCGACGAUCUGUAGCGGGUCUGAGAGGAUGAUCCGCCACACUGGGACUGAGACACGGCCCAGACUCCUACGGGAGGCAGCAGUGGGGAAUAUUGGACAAUGGGCGAAAGCCUGAUCCAGCCAUGCCGCGUGUGUGAAGAAGGCCUUUUGGUUGUAAAGCACUUUAAGCGAGGAGGAGGCUACUUGGAUUAAUACUCUAGGAUAGUGGACGUUACUCGCAGAAUAAGCACCGGCUAACUCUGUGCCAGCAGCCGCGGUAAUACAGAGGGUGCGAGCGUUAAUCGGAUUUACUGGGCGUAAAGCGUGCGUAGGCGGCUUUUUAAGUCGGAUGUGAAAUCCCUGAGCUUAACUUAGGAAUUGCAUUCGAUACUGGGAAGCUAGAGUAUGGGAGAGGAUGGUAGAAUUCCAGGUGUAGCGGUGAAAUGCGUAGAGAUCUGGAGGAAUACCGAUGGCGAAGGCAGCCAUCUGGCCUAAUACUGACGCUGAGGUACGAAAGCAUGGGGAGCAAACAGGAUUAGAUACCCUGGUAGUCCAUGCCGUAAACGAUGUCUACUAGCCGUUGGGGCCUUUGAGGCUUUAGUGGCGCAGCUAACGCGAUAAGUAGACC
rnacentral:rRNA from 1 species